UACCAGCACCCCGAGUGGUCGGGACGAUUAUUGGGCCUAAAGCAUCCGUAGCCGGCCUUACAAGUCCUCCGUUAAGUCCAGCUGCUUAACAGAUGGGCUGCGGAGGAUACUAUAAGACUAGGAGGCAGGAGAGGCAAGCGGUACUCAGUGGGUAGGGGUAAAAUCCGUUGAUCCAUUGAAGACCACCAGUGGCGAAGGCGGCUUGCCAGAAUGCGCUCGACGGUGAGGGAUGAAAGCUGGGGGAGCAAACCGG
rnacentral:rRNA from 1 species